AUUGAACGCUGGCGGCAUGCCUUACACAUGCAAGUCGAACGGUAACAGGUCUUCGGAUGCUGACGAGUGGCGAACGGGUGAGUAAUACAUCGGAACGUGCCCAGACGUGGGGGAUAACGAGGCGAAAGCUUUGCUAAUACCGCAUACGAUCUAAGGAUGAAAGCAGGGGACCGCAAGGCCUUGCGCGUUUGGAGCGGCCGAUGGCAGAUUAGGUAGUUGGUGGGAUAAAAGCUUACCAAGCCGACGAUCUGUAGCUGGUCUGAGAGUACGACCAGCCACACUGGGACUGAGACACGGCCCAGACUCCUACGGGAGGCAGCAGUGGGGAAUUUUGGACAAUGGGCGAAAGCCUGAUCCAGCAAUGCCGCGUGCAGGAUGAAGGCCUUCGGGUUGUAAACUGCUUUUGUACGGAACGAAAAGGCUCUGGCUAAUACCUGGGGCACAUGACGGUACCGGAAGAAUAAGCACCGGCUAACUACGUG
rnacentral:rRNA from 1 species